AAGGUGGAGCUGGGCAGUGAGGAGAAGCUAGAGAAGGUAGGGAGGACUGAGAAUAGAGGAAGAAGAAAACAAAAAAUAGUAAGAAAGAGAGACGACCAAAGGAGGCACAUGGAGCGGAGAGAUGUGUGAAAGAGAAGCCAUGUGUAUAUGCUUCUCUGCCUUGAACUGGUACCAGGGACUUGUGGAGCAGGGAAGGAGACACUUGAAAGUGAUAGAAACGUAGGUGCUCAGAGGAGUCCAUGGAGGAAACAAGUGUCAGAUUUACCUAAGUCAGGUAAUCAGAUCAUUGAUAAGCAAGAAACAGGAGCAAAAGAUGUACUAUAGAAGAGGCAGUGAACUGUGAAUUUCUUCUCUCAUUUGACAGAAACCUCUCUUGAUAACUGCCAAAAUGAACCUCAGAAAGCCACUUGGAUUCUGACUCUACUGUUUAGCAUUAAUAUCUUUUAAGCUAUCAAAAUAAAGUGAAAAUUAUGAAUAAUUUACAAGAUCUUCAGGAUUUGACUCAACUGUAACUUU